rnacentral:rRNA from 1 species
UACAGAGGUCUCAAGCGUUGUUCGGAAUUACUGGGCGUAAAGGGUGCGCAGGCCGCGCGGGCAGUCAAUUGUGUAAUUCAGGGGGCUCAACCCCCUGGACUGCGCUUGAUACUUCCGUGCUAGAGCUUUGGAGAGGAGUCUGGAAUUCUCGGUGUAGCAGUGAAAUGCGUGGAUAUUGAGAAGAACACUUAGGGCGAAGGCAAGACUCUGGACAAAUGCUGACGCUCAUGCACGAAGGCUAGGGUAGCGAACGGG